rnacentral:rRNA from 1 species
GACGAACGCUGGCGGCGUGCUUAACACAUGCAAGUCGAACGGAAAGGCCCUGCUUUUGUGGGGUGCUCGAGUGGCGAACGGGUGAGUAAAACGUGAGUAAACUGCCCUUGACUUUGGGAUAACUUCAGGAAAAUGGGGCUAAUAUCGGAUAGGAGCUCCUGCUGCAUGGUGGGGGAUGGAAAGUUUCGGCGGUGGGGGAUGGACUCGCGGCUUAUCAGCUUGUUGGUGGGGUAGUGGCUUACCAAGGCUUUGACGGGUAGCCGGCCUGAGAGGGUGACCGGCCACAUUGGGACUGAGAUACGGCCCAGACUCCUACGGGAGGCAGCAGUGGGGAAUAUUGCACAAUGGGCGGAAGCCUGAUGCAGCAACGCCGCGUGCGGGAUGACGGCCUUCGGGUUGUAAACCGCUUUCGCCUGUGACGAAGCGUGAGUGACGGUAAUGGGUAAAGAAGCACCGGCUAACUACGUG